rnacentral:misc_RNA from 1 species
AAGUCGUAACAAGGUCUCCGUAGGUGAACCUGCGGAGGGAUCAUAUUUAGGAAUAUAAGAGAGGAAAUAUGGGUAGGUCUUUAGGGGACUAUUUGUAUGACUCUUUAGGAAGAGCACCAAGUGAAUGAGUUAGUAGAGAGGAUUGCUAUAUUGUUAUAUCAGUAUAGCAAACCUCUUUUUAAACCUAAACUGUUUGUAUCAAAAUAUUCAUGUCUAGUAAAAUAUUAUAAAAAACAACUUUUAACAACGGAUCUCUAGGCUCUU